UUAGGUCGACCCGCUGAAUUUAAGCAUAUCACUAAGCGGAGGAAAAGAAACUAACAAGGAUUCCCUUAGUAACGGCGAGUGAACAGGGAGAAGCCCAGCACCGAAGCCUGUGGUCGUUUGAUCACUAGGCAAUGUGGUGUUUAGGUCAAAUCUGGGAAGUGCUGCUCCUCUCCAAGUCCGACAAUGAGUACGGUAUUUUGGACAUGGCCCAGAGAGGGUGACAGGCCCGUGGGAGAGGAGGUCAGGGUUGACAGUACUUCCUGCGAUAGACCUUGGAGUCGGGUUGUUUGUGAAUGCAGCCCAAAGUGGGUGGUAAACUCCAUCCAAGGCUAAAUACUAACACGAGUCCGAUAGCGAACAAGUACCAUGAGGGAAAGUUGAAAAGUACUUUGAAGAGAGAGUAAACAGUGCGUGAAGCCGCUCAGAGGUAAACGGGUGGAGUUGAACUGCGUGCUUUGAGAAUUCAGCUGGUGAUUGUAUCAUGAUCUUGGUUAUUUUGGUUGUCCGACGGGGUCUGCUUAGCUGCAGGUUUUUGCCUUCGGGUGAGAAUGCGCGAUUCACUUAUCAAGUGAUGCGCGCCCUGUUUGUUCUUCGGAUCAGUUGCCAGUGCACUUUCUCAGAGUGAUCACUACGACCGGCACUGCUGUCUGUCUGUUGUGGUUAAACCGAUCAAGCUUGUCCUUGUGGCUGUUUGGUUGGGACGGCAGGUGGCUCGUUAGCUCGCUUGUGGUUUACUGCAGGUACAUGGCUUUCGGGUGUAAUCAGCUGACCAUGAUGGUUCUGUGCAGUGUGUCGGAGACGUCGGCUUGUGGUGUGUGCGUGUACGGUGGUACGGUGGUUUUUCCGGGUUUGGUUGCCAUGUCGCUCCAUGUGAGCCUGGUGAUAGCUCGGGAGAUUUCAUUGUAUUGCUGUGCGUGUGACAUCGUUACAGGGCCAACAGUCUGUGGUGUUGUGGUAGACCUUCCACCUGACCCGUCUUGAAACACGGACCAAGGAGAGUAACAUGUACGCGAGUCAUUGGGCGUAACGAAACCCAGAGGCGCAGUGAAAGUAAAUGUUGGGCUUGUCCUGACUGAGGUGAGAUCUCGUCGUUUCCCAUGCAUGGUAUCACCAAGUUAAGAGCGGCGAGCGCAUCACCGGCCCGUCCCAUGACGUAGUUGGGGUCUUUGACCACGCAUCGUCGGGGCGGAGCAUGAGCGUACAUGUUGAGACCCGAAAAAUGGUGAACUAUGCUUGCGCAGGUUNAAGCCNUAGGUAGNCCCGNUGNANUUNAGCAGCGAUUCUGACGUGCAAAUCGAUCGUCAAACGUGAGUAUAGGGGCGAAAGACUAAUCGAACC
rnacentral:rRNA from 1 species